rnacentral:rRNA from 1 species
GAUGAACGCUGGCGGCGUGCCUAAUACAUGCAAGUCGAGCGAACGGACGAGAAGCUUGCUUCUCUGAUGUUAGCGGCGGACGGGUGAGUAACACGUGGAUAACCUACCUAUAAGACUGUGAUAACUCCGGGAAAGCGUAGCUAAUACCGACGAAUAUUUUGAACCGCAUGGUUCAAUACUGAAAUACGGUCUUGCUGUUACUUAUAGAUGGAUCCGCGCUGCAUUAGCUAGUUGGUAAGGUAACGGCUUACCAAGGCAACGAUGAAUAGCCGACCUGAGAGGAUGAUCAGCCACACUGGAACUGAGACACGGUCCAGACUCCUACGGGAGGCAGCAGUAGGGAAUCUUCCGCAAAGGGCGAAAGCCUGACGGAGCAACGCCGCGUGAGUGAUGAAGGUCUUCGGAUCGUAAAACUCUGUUAUUCGGGAAGAACAUAUGUGUAAGAAACUGUGCACAUCUUGACGGUACCUAAUGAGAAAGCAACGGCUAACUACGUG